rnacentral:rRNA from 1 species
UCACGCAUCGCGUCUUCCCCACGCUCACCUUGUGUGGGGUGGGGAAGGAGGAUGGCUUCCCGUGCCUCACCGGGCGCGGCUGGCCUAAAAAGGGAGCCCACGGCGUUGUGAUGUCGCGGCGAUAGGUGGUGAACAAGGCCUUGGCUGAGCAAGCAACCCGCCGCGCAUCGCUUUGUCAACGUGUGCUCGGAGGACCCUAUGAAGUUGCCUCGGUGCAACGCAAACCGUUGCGAC